UUGUCAAGCUAUUUUCAAGACUGCUUAGAAAGUACGAGGUGGGAGGGUCUCAGUCUAGAUUAGGACUUGAUGGCCUUGUAGGCCCCAUCCAAUUUCACUUUUCUGUGAUUCUAUGAUUAUCUGACAACUCAAGGUUUUCAUCUUUCUCUCUCAAAACAAGGAGCUGAAUUGUAUCCCAAAUGGUUGAAGCAAAAAAUCCACAUACUAUGUGCACAUGAUCAAAGAGGACUGUGCUACUCAGCAGAUUUGAAACCAAUGUCAUUGAGAGUGCCUUGCAUUUCUUGGUGUGUCUGUUGAAACAGCCUUUUUUUCUGAGAACCAGAACACAAUCUGCUAUGAUGCAUUCUCAGUACCAUCAAUAUCCUUGUGUUGACUCCACCAGGAUGCCGAAUGGCAGAGGGAGGAGUGGGGAAAUACAGCAGCAGAGAAGAAAACUGCUCUCCUUGCAAAACAUUUUCAGAAUUCCCACAGCAGCUCACAACCAAACAACCAGCUUAUAAAAGAAGAACAAGCAUAGCUGAAAAUUGCAAGCAAGAUGAAGCCACAAUUGCAGGAAUGAGAACAGAAAUGGUGAAGACGGUAAAAAGCUUGGGGAACUGAGAAAGUCCUUGCCAGGUGCCAGCCCUGGACAAGACUCUGUGCUAGGAAAUAAUCCAUGAAGAGUGCAUGGCAUUAAAGGGGUACCUUACCUCAGGAAAUGGCGGCCCCAGAGUCAGUCUGAAAAGACACUUUGCUGCUUGAGGAAGAGCAGCCAGUGGCACCCCUUCUCCACAAGUCAUGGUACAUAGCUCUCCAAACCAGCUGAGUUAUUUUAGCACCCAAGGCAAUAAAAUCAUACACGCAACCCUUUCCA
rnacentral:lncRNA from 1 species